AACGAACGCUGGCGGCGUGCCUAACACAUGCAAGUCGAACGUGAAAGUCCUUCGGGAUGAGUAAAGUGGCGCACGGGUGAGUAAUGCGUAGAUAAUCUGCCUGAUGAUCUGGGAUAACAUUUCGAAAGGGGUGCUAAUACCGGAUAAGCCCACGAGCUCUUCGGAGCAUGCGGGAAAAGGGGGGGACCUUCGGGCCUUCUGUCAUCAGAUGAGUCUACGUACCAUUAGCUAGUUGGUAGGGUAAAGGCCUACCAAGGCUACGAUGGUUAGCUGGUCUGAGAGGAUGAUCAGCCACACUGGAACUGAGACACGGUCCAGACUCCUACGGGAGGCAGCAGUGGGGAAUUUUGCGCAAUGGGGGAAACCCUGACGCAGCAACGCCGCGUGAGUGAUGAAGGCCUUCGGGUCGUAAAGCUCUGUCAGAGGGAAAGAAAUGUGGGGUGCUAAUACCACUACCACUUGACGGUACCCUCAAAGGAAGCACCGGCUAACUCCGUGCCAGCAGCCGCCGUAAAAC
rnacentral:rRNA from 1 species